rnacentral:rRNA from 1 species
ACAAGCGAGGAACAUGUGGUUUAAUUCGAUGAUACGCGAGGAACUUACCUGGGCUAGGACGCAAUCGGAAUCAGGCCGAAAGGCCUGCGCCAGCGAUGGCCGGUUGCGAGGUGCUGCAUGGUUGUCGUUCAGCUCGUGCCGUGAGGUGUCGGGUUAAGGUCCCAUAACGAGCGCAACCCCUACCUGCUAGUUGCCAGCGGGUCAUGCCGGGGACUCUAGCGGAACUGCCAGCGUAAGCUGCGAGGAAGGUGGGGAUGACGUCAAAUCAGCACGGCCCUUACGUCCAGGGCUACACACGUGUUACAAUGGCCAGUACAGAGGGCAGCCACCCCGCGAGGGGGCGCUAAUCCUAAAAGCUGGUCCCAGUUCGGAUCGGAGUCUGCAACCCGACUCCGUGAAGCUGGAUUCGCUAGUAAUCGCGCAUCAGCCACGGCGCGGUGAAUACGUUCCCGGGCCUU